UACGUAGGGGGCAAGCGUUAUCCGGAUUUACUGGGUGUAAAGGGAGCGUAGGCGGCCAUGUAAGUCAGAAGUGAAAGCCCGGGGCUCAACCCCGGGACUGCUUUUGAGACUGUGUGGCUGGAGUGUCGGAGGGGUAAGUGGAAUUCCUAGUGUAGCGGUGAAAUGCGUAGAUAUUCGGAGGAACACCGGUGGCGAAGGCGGCCAACUGGGCUUUAACUGACGCUGAGGCUCGAAAGUGUGGGGAGCAAACAGG
rnacentral:rRNA from 1 species